rnacentral:rRNA from 1 species
GUCGAGAAUCAUUCGCAAUGGGCGAAAGCCUGACGAUGCGACGCCGUGUGAACGAAGAAGGCCUUCGGGUCGUAAAGUUCUUUCGCUUGGGAGCAAGAGAGGUCAGCUAAUAACUGGCUAAUUUGAGUGUACCAGGUAAAGAAGCACCGGCUAACUCCGUGCCAGCAGCUGCGGUAAUACGGAGGGUGCAAGCAUUAAUCGGAUUUAUUGGGCGUAAAGGGCGCGUAGGCGGGAAGAUUAGUCAGAUGUGAAAGCCCAGGGCUCAACCCUGGAACAGCAUUUGAAACUGUCUUUCUAGAGGGUAGGCGGAGAAAACGGAAUUCCACGUGUAGCGGUGAAAUGCGUAGAUAUGUGGAAGAACACCGGUGGCGAAGGCGGUUUUCUAGCUUACUCCUGACGCUGAGGCGCGAAAGCAAGGGGAGCAAACAGGAUUAGAAACCCUGGUAGUCC